rnacentral:antisense_RNA from 1 species
UUGACCGUGUAGGCCCACGGGGAGCUGUCCCCGGUGAGCACCUGGUCGCCGAAGUGGUCGCCGUCGAUCAUGGUGCCGACCACGACCGGGUCGCCGUACUUGCCGGGCGCGACCUGGUUCACCUUUCCGUGCGCCAGCAGGAAGAUCUCGCCGGCGGCCUCACCGGCGCGGACCAGGGUGUCUCCCGGGGCGAACUCCUGCUGCCGGAACCGGUCGGCCAGGGCGUUGAGCACCUCGGCGUCGUCGAAGCCGCGCAGCAGCGGCAGCUCGCACAGCUCCGGCGGCACCACGCGGACCUCGGAACCGGUGUUGCUGAAGGACAACCGCCCGUCGCCGACCGCGAAGGUGAGCCUGCGGUUGACCCGGUAGGCGCCGCCCUUCGCCUCCACCCACGGCAGCACCCGCAGCAACCACCGCGGCGUGAUGCCCUGCAUCUGCGGGACCGACUUGGUCGUCGUCGCGAGGUUGCGCGCCGCCGCGGUUCCGAGGCUCAGCUGCUGGGCCUGCGG